rnacentral:rRNA from 1 species
GUAGAGAGAAGCUUGCUUNUCUUGAGAGCGGCGGACGGGUGAGUAAUGCCUAGGAAUCUGCCUGGUAGUGGGGGAUAACNUUNGGAAACGGACGCUAAUNCCGCAUACGUNNUACGGGAGAAAGCAGGGGACNUUCGGNCCUUGCGCUAUCAGAUGAGCCUAGGUCGGAUUAGCUAGUUGGUGAGGUAAUGGCUCACCAAGGCGACGAUCCGUAACUGGUCUGAGAGGAUGAUCAGUCACACUGGAACUGAGACACGGUCCAGACUCCUACGGGAGGCAGCAGUGGGGAAUAUUGGACAAUGGGCGAAAGCCUGAUCCAGCCAUGCCGCGUGUGUGAAGAAGGUCUUCGGAUUGUAAAGCACUUUAAGUUGGGAGGAAGGGCAUUAACCUAAUACGUUAGUGUUUUGACGUUACCGACAGAAUAAGCACCGGCUAACUCUGUGCCAGCAGCCGCGGUAAUACAGAGGGUGCAAGCGUUAAUCGGAAUUACUGGGCGUAAAGCGCGCGUAGGUGGUUUGUUAAGUUGGAUGUGAAAUCCCCGGGCUCAACCUGGGAACUGCAUUCAAAACUGACUGACUAGAGUAUGGUAGAGGGUGGUGGAAUUUCCUGUGUAGCGGUGAAAUGCGUAGAUAUAGGAAGGAACACCAGUGGCGAAGGCGACCACCUGGACUAAUACUGACACUGAGGUGCGAAAGCGUGGGGAGCAAACAGGAUUAGAUACCCUGGUAGUCCACGCCGUAAACGAUGUCAACUAGCCGUNGGNANCCUUGAGCUNUUAGNGGCGCAGCUAACGCAUUA